rnacentral:rRNA from 1 species
UCAAGCUAAUAAGAGCGCAGGGUGGAUGCCUUGGCACUAAGAGCCGAUGAAAGACGUGAUAAGCUGCGAAAAGCUUCGGGGAGGAGCAAAUAUCCUUUGAUCCGGAGAUAUCUGAAUGGGGAAACCCGGCUGAGUAACCCUCAGUCACCAUAACGUAAAUACAUAGCGUUAUGGAGGGAACCCGGUGAACUGAAACAUCUAAGUAGCCGGAGGAAGAGAAAGAAACAUCGAUUCCGGAAGUAGCGGCGAGCGAACCCGGAAGAGCCCAAACCAGUGUGCGUGCAUGCUGGGGUUAAGGACUGCAUAAGUGAGCCGAUCUGUUAAUGGAACUGCCUGGGAAGGCAGGCCAGAGAGGGUGAAAGCCCCGUACAUGAAAACAGCAGGCAGCGGCAGGAUCCAGAGUACCGCGAGACACGAGAAACCUUGCGGGAAGUCGGAGGGACCACCCUCCAAGGCUAAAUACUCCUUAGUGACCGAUAGCGCAUAGUACUGUGAAGGAAAGGUGAAAAGGACCCCGGGAGGGGAGUGAAAGAGAACCUGAAACCCUGUGUUUACAAGCUGUGGGAGCACGUUAAGGUGCAACCGCGUACUUUUUGUAGAACGGUCCGGCGAGUUGCCGGUGCUGGCAAGGUUAAAUGGUACAGCCAUGGAGCCGAAGGGAAACCAAGUCUCAAAUGGGCGUAAAGUCAGCACAGGCAGACCCGAAACCGGGUGACCUAUCCAUGUCCAGGAUGAAGCGGAAGUAAAAUUCCGUGGAGGUCCGGAUCCACAUCCGUUGAAAAGGGUGGGAAUGAGGUGUGGAUAGGGGAGAAAUUCCAAUCGAACCCGGAGAUAGCUGGUUCUCCUCGAAAUAGCUUUAGGGCUAGCCCCGUAUUAGUUUAGCGGAGGUAGAGCACUGAAUUCCUAAGGGGGCGUCAAAGCUUACCAAGGGAUAUCAAACUCCGAAUGCCGCAUAAAUGAUGUACGGGAGUCAGACUGCACGAGAUAAGUUGGGCAGUCAAAAGGGAAAGAGCCCAGACCUACAGCUAAGGUCCCAAAGUGUGUGUUAAGUGGAAAAGGAUGUGGGAUUUCAGAGACAACUAGGAUGUUGGCUUAGAAGCAGCCACACAUUCAAAGAGUGCGUAAUAGCUCACUAGUCGAGAGGUCCUGCGCCGAAAAUGUCCGGGGCUGAAACACAACACCGAAGCUUAGGAAUGUAGUAAUACAUUGGUAGAGGAGCAUUCUUAAAGGAAUGAAGCAGUACCGGUAAGGAGCUGUGGACUUUUAAGAAGAGAGAAUGCCGGAAUGAGUAGCGAGAUGGAGGUGGGAAUCCUCCAGGCCGAAUAUCCAAGGUUUCCAGAGUAAAGCUGAUCUGCUCUGGGUAAGUCGGGGCCUAAGGUAAGGCUGAGAAGCGUAGCCGAUGGACAACAGGUUGAGAUUCCUGUACCGCGUAUCAUCAGAACUGUGGGGACACAGAAGGACAGCACAUCCCGGGAAUGGAAAGACCGGGGCAAGCAGGGUAGGAGUUAAGCUGGCAAAUCCGCUUAACAAUCCGAAGCUGUGAUGCGGAGCGAAUUUAAGUAGUGAAGUGUGCGAUUCCGGCUGUCAAGAAAAGCCGCUAUUGUGUGAUACGUGCCCGUACCGUAAACCGACACAGGUAGAUGAGGAGAGAAUCCUAAGGCCGGCGGGAGAAGCAUUGUUAAGGAACUCGGCAAAAUGACCCUGUAACUUCGGGAGAAAGGGUGCCUGGGAAACCAGGCCGCAGAGAAUAGGCUCAAGCAACUGUUUAGCAAAAACACAGGUCUAUGCAAAACCGUAAGGUGAGGUAUAUGGGCUGACGCCUGCCCGGUGCUGGAAGGUUAAGAGGAGGGGUUAGCGCAAGCGAAGCUCUGAAUUGAAGCCCCAGUAAACGGCGGCCGUAACUAUAACGGUCCUAAGGUAGCGAAAUUCCUUGUCGGGUAAGUUCCGACCCGCACGAAAGGCGUAAUGAUUUGAGCGCUGUCUCGACAAUGCACCC